rnacentral:rRNA from 1 species
CCUACGGGGGGCAGCAGUGAGGAAUAUUGGUCAAUGGACGAGAGUCUGAACCAGCCAAGUAGCGUGAAGGAUGACUGCCCUAUGGGUUGUAAACUUCUUUUAUAUGGGAAUAAAAUGUUCCACGUGUGGGAUUUUGUAUGUACCCUAUGAAUAAGGAUCGGCUAACUCCGUGCCAGCAGCCGCGGUAAUACGGAGGAUCCGAGCGUUAUCCGGAUUUAUUGGGUUUAAAGGGAGCGUAGGUGGAUUGUUAAGUCAGUUGUGAAAGUUUGCGGCUCAACCGUAAAAUUGCAGUUGAAACUGGCAGUCUUGAGUACAGUAGAAGUGGGCGGAAUGCGUGGUGUAGCGGUGAAAUGCUUAGAUAUCACGAAGAACUCCGAUUGCGAAGGCAGUUCACUGGACUGCAACUGACACUGAGGCUCGAAAGUGUGGGUAUCAAACAGGAUUAGAUACCCCGGUAGUC